rnacentral:rRNA from 1 species
AGAGUUUGAUCCUGGCUCAGGACGAACGCUGGCGGCGUGCUUAACACAUGCAAGUCGAGCGAUGAAGCUUCCUUCGGGAAGUGGAUUAGCGGCGGACGGGUGAGUAACACGUGGGUAACCUGCCUCAAAGUGGGGGAUAGCCUUCCGAAAGGAAGAUUAAUACCGCAUAAUAUAAGAGAAUCGCAUGAUUUUCUUAUCAAAGAUUUAUUGCUUUGAGAUGGACCCGCGGCGCAUUAGCUAGUUGGUAAGGUAACGGCUUACCAAGGCAACGAUGCGUAGCCGACCUGAGAGGGUGAUCGGCCACAUUGGAACUGAGACACGGUCCAGACUCCUACGGGAGGCAGCAGUGGGGAAUAUUGCGCAAUGGGGGAAACCCUGACGCAGCAACGCCGCGUGGGUGAUGAAGGUCUUCGGAUUGUAAAGCCCUGUUUUCUAGGACGAUAAUGACGGUACUAGAGGAGGAAGCCACGGCUAACUACGUGCCAGCAGCCGCGGUAAUACGUAGGUGGCGAGCGUUGUCCGGAUUUACUGGGCGUAAAGGGUGCGUAGGCGGAUGUUUAAGUGGGAUGUGAAAUCCCCGGGCUUAACCUGGGGGCUGCAUUCCAAACUGGAUAUCUAGAGUGCAGGAGAGGAAAGCGGAAUUCCUAGUGUGGCGGUGAAAUGCGUAGAGAUUAGGAAGAACACCAGUGGCGAAGGCGGCUUUCUGGACUGUAACUGACGCUGAGGCACGAAAGCGUGGGUAGCAAACAGGAUUAGAUACCCUGGUAGUCCACGCCGUAAACGAUGGAUACUAGGUGUAGGGGGUAUCAACUCCCCCUGUGCCGCAGUUAACACAAUAAGUAUCCCGCCUGGGGAGUACGGUCGCAAG